rnacentral:misc_RNA from 1 species
AAAGCAGCAUGAUGGGAAAAGGUUUUAAACAGUAAUUGUUUAGACAUCUAUUUUUCACACCUCAUCAUAUAUGAUAUGCACUACAAAAGGCCCCUGAAAAGAAGACUAUGGAAUUGUCAAGGAAAAUUAAACUGCAAAGGUAGCCGGGACAAUAUGGAACAAACCUAAUUAUAUUUCAGUUUAACAAUGAGAUAUUUAAUUUGAGGUCACUAGUUUAUAAAAUAUUUUCAAAGACAAAUGGGAAAAGAAAAUCCCAUUAAGAAGCAGAACUGUUACAUGUUCAAGUAGUGUGCAAAUGCAAAGAUACUAUACAUCUAAAGCCUUAAUGAUAGGACAUUCAAGUAAGUAUAUAGAUGACAUGAUCAGGAACGGAAAGACUAUCCACAAUCCAUGAUAAGGAUGAAGGGUAUAAAAGUACAAAAAAAUGAAUAAUAAAUUUGAAGUACACUAUCUUCAGAAGAUGA